GAGAGAGGAAGGGCGGCUUACGCACCCAUGGGGUGUGAGGAAAGUCCCCCCUCCGUUUGGACGCACGAACGCCCGAAAGGGCGUAGGGCGAGAGCCCUGGCAAUGGCACAGAAACGACACCGCCACGUAUGAGUGCGAUGAUUCCGCAAGGAUGAGGUCGUACGUGUGCGGAUGAAACGGCAAAUCCUCGUGGGUGCAAGCGGUGGAUGAAGGCGGACGUCCAACCGCCUCCACCAAUAUGCGCUUAGCCAAAUGCCGCCGAAACAGAAGGGGGCUUACUCUCCUCACUC
rnacentral:RNase_P_RNA from 1 species